GACGAACGCUGGCGGCGUGCCUAAUACAUGCAAGUCGAGCGAGCGGCGGACGGGUGAGUACUGUAUGGGGACUGCCUGAUAGAGGGGGAUAACUACUGUAAACGGUGGCUAAUACUGCAUACUAUCGGAUAACACAUAUGGGAUUAGCUAGUAGGUGGGGUAAAGGCUCACCUAGGCGACGAUCUCUAGCUGGUCUGAGAGGAUGAUCAGCCACACUGGGACUGAGACACGGACCAGACUCCUACGGAGGCAGCAGUGGGGAAUAUUGCACAAUGGGCGCAAGCCUGAUGCAGCCAUGCCGCGUGUAUGAAGAAGGCCUUAGGGUUGUAAAGUACUUUCAGCGGGGAGGCGUUACCAGAAGAAGAAGCACAGGCUAACUCCGUGCCAGCAGCCGCGGUAAUUC
rnacentral:rRNA from 1 species